CAUCCGUGGGCCUCGUCGAGGGAGGGCAGGGUGGCCCCAGCUAUGCCUCCCCGCACUGUGGGUGGCGGGAAGGCCUCCCACUCCCACCGGUGUGUCGCUGCCUAUGGGGGAUCUGUUUGUUGGUGUCGGCCCUCCGGGGUCAACAAGGUGCCCCCCGGCGUAUACCGGUCAUCGGCUACCAAAGUUCCACGACAGCCAUCUGUGGUCCGUGAGGACGCCGUGCAAAAAACUCAGUCCUCAAAUCACAAACGGGCCUCCCCGGACCCUAGGGAGAGAAUCGGCAAGGCGACCUCAGGUCCACGGAAGGCUGCCGCUGUGAGGAAAGCACCCCUAGCCCAACCACAGACUCCCAAGGCCUGUGACAUAAGCCUAGGUCUCUUGCCUGGCUCCGCAGCUCCCGGUCAUCGCUGGGCACUCAAGACUCAGGUAGAUCCCAGUGUGUUCCAAGCGUCCCCAGGCAGUAGGUUGGCACACCCCCUGCCUGGUACAGCCAUCCCUCAGCAGGAGAGGAAGCGGACCGAGGGUACCAUUUCCAGUGGGCACUGCCCAUGGGAGCAAGUGACUGGCCGUAUACUCAAUGAACUGGUGGCCAGUUUGCCACAGGGUCUGGACAAUGACCUGUCCGGAAGCCUGUCCCCAGACUCCACAGACUGUGGCCCGAAUGUGAGUAAUUCCCAGAGCUCAUUGCCCAGCUGUAGUUCACUCAGCCUUUCUACCAUGUCUGUGACCAGUCUGACUGCUAUCGACCUGGCGGAGGAGGAGUCCUUGGAGGCCAGCUUGGAUAGGGACAUCCGGGUAGAUGCCCUCCUCUCUGGAGAGGCCUCAGGGGGGCCUCAGGGGCCUGGAGACAGGGAAGAAACUAGGGAGGUGAGCUGGCCACACACAACUCCAAACCUCCACCACCCUCCCUCUGCGAGUUCAGAGCCGAUGCCCAUUCUGCACCACAGCUCAGUGUCCGGUCAUGUGACCUUGAGUGUCCACUGGGGCUCAGAUGAUCCGGAUGAGAGGGAUGUGUCUUCAGGCCAAAGCUCCAUGGAUCUGAAGAAGAGCUUGUCCCAGAAAUCCUAUAGAACAGGACUGACCAGAAGCGUGUCUUUGGGUAAUGUGGCCCCUACCGUGUAUCAGCAGCCCUCUGGGGCCAGUAGAUUAACCUCAAGCCUCUCCCUGCCAUCAGUAGCAGAUAACAUGGCUCCAAACCCACAACAGCCAUUUAUAGUCAGUAGGGUCACCCCCAGCCUAUCUGAAUCGUCUAUGACUACUAAGGUCACCCCCAGCCUAGCCCAG
rnacentral:lncRNA from 1 species